rnacentral:misc_RNA from 1 species
ACUUAAAAUCAAAAGCAAGAAUCAUGGCUGUUCCUGAUUUAGCUCAUACAUCAUGUGGCAUCAAAGAAUUAGAAGGAGUGGGGCUUGUUGACAAGAAUGGUGCACCCCUUUCUAGUUGGUCAAGGACUGUUGAUCUUUCUUCUUUUGACAGUCCAGAUGAUGAAACAUGGAUUAGACUUGGUGCGCAGCAUGGUAGCUGUGAUGAACAAGAUGAAGCUUAUAUUGGUGAAUUGCUCCAGUCUGUACAGA